AUGAGUUUGUAUCACUGUGGUGGACUUUUGGUGGAGGAACCAGACUGGAGGUUGGAACUUGUAGGUUUAGUUCAGUCAGAGAGCAAUGUCUUUCUACAGUCAGAGGUUUUUGUACGACGGCUCAAUGAGUUUGUAUCACUGUGGUGGACUUUUGGUGGAGGAACCAGACUGGAGGUUGGAAGUAAUACCCGUCCCAUCGUGACAGUGCUGCCCCCCUCCAGUGAGGAUCUGCACCAGGGGAAGGCCACCCUCGUGUGUUUGGCCAACAAGGGCUUCCCCUCAGACUGGAGUCUGUCCUGGAAGGUGGAGGGCAGCAUUAACACCUUCACCUGGGAGGAGAACAAGAGCAAAGUAGUGCAGCAGAAUGAUGGUCUCUACAGCUGGAGCAGCACCCUGAGGCUCCCUGCACACCAGUGGAAGAAGGUCGGCUCUGUGACCUGUGAGGCCACCCAGGGCUCCCAGACUGCAGUCACAGAGACACUGAGGAGAGACCAGUGCUCCCAGUACUGA